rnacentral:lncRNA from 1 species
GCUACUACAAUUCUAUGUCUCCUAUUUUGGUAUUUGUAACAGACUCAUCAAGAAUUUUGGAAGCUGAUAAUUACAUUUUGAAGGUAUCCCUGCCUUAUAAAAGAAAAAAUCAGUGGAAAAAUUCAUAUAAGACUUUGUAUGGAAGCCAUCGCUCCCUCCAAGAAGGGAAAAAAACAGAAAGUGUCAUGUUAUAGCAUAUUAGAAGAGUAAUGUAAUGCAGUCAAAAACUAAAAGAAAUGUUGGUAUCCUUCUUCAGCGAUUAUCUGAAAUUAGCCAGGAAUGAAUGAAUAGUAAGCAACAGAUGGGAGGAAAAUGGCAGAUAGGAAGCAGGACUAACUUGCAGCUCCCACUUGGACAAACAGAGCAGUGUGUGGAGACCCACAUCAUAAACCUUUGCUCCAAGAACCACCAUAGGAACAUACCAGGAAAGCCAAGAGAAUCCGCAGACCCUUUAAAGGAGGUGGAUUGCUGCCGCAGGCUCUGUGGGACAGCUAAGGAAUUGUGAGUCAGCUUACUUUCUCAGCUGGGAGGCUUGUAGCCUGGGGCAAGUUCUGUGCCCUGCUCACUAGCUGCCUGGAAAUAAACUCAGUGCUGUUAAAGGGGCACAGUGGGAGUGAGACCAGCCUUUCAGGCUGCCGGCUGCAUUGGAGCUGAGUGAGGCCUAUGGCUACCAGCUUUUCCCCGACUUCCCUGGUGACUUGUGUGAUGCAGCCGUAAUCCCCCUAGGAACAUAACUCCAUUGGCCUGGGAACCACAUCCCCAACCCCCACAGCAACUGCAGCAAGCCCUGCCCAAGGAGAGUCUGAGCUGAGACAGGCUUAACUCUUCCCCCACCUGAUGGUCCUUCUCUACCCACCUUGAUAGCCAAAGACAAAGGAUAUAAUCUCUUGGGAACUCUAUGACCCCACCCACCACCUGACCCUAAGGGAAGCUUGUAUCCUCCCUAUACUACUGCAGCUGAUACACUGUUGAUAGUGUCACCUCCUGGAUGGAGGCCGACCAACACACAACCAGUGCCAUUAACAAAAAAACAACCAAGGACAUUCACAGAGUCCACUUCACUCCCCUGCUAACUCCAGCGGAGCAGGUGCUGGUAUCUAUGGCUGAAAAACAUGAAGACAGAUCACAUUACAGGACUCUUUGCAGACACUCCCCAGUACCAGCCCAGAGCUCAGUAGCUCCAUUGAGUGGCUAGAUCCAGAAGAGAAAUAACAAUCUCUGUAGUUUGCCUCUCAGGAAGCCCCAUCCUUAAGGGAAGGGGAGAGCACCAAAUCAAGGGAGCACCCUGUGGGACAAAGGAAUCUGAACAGAAGCCCUUGAGUCCCAGAUCUUCCCUCUGAUCUAGUUUACCCAAAUGAGAAGGAACCAGAAAAACAAUUCUGAUAAUAUGACAAAACAAGGUUCUUUAACACCCCCAAAAGAUCACACUAGCUCAACAGCAAUGGAUCCAAAUCAAGAUGUAAUCUCUUAAUUGCCAGAAAAAGAAUUCAGAAGGUUAUUAUUAAGCUAAUCAAAAAGGAACCAGAGAAAGGUAAAGUUCAACUUAAAGAAAUCCAAAAUAUGAUACAGGAUAUCAAUGGAAAAAUCUCCAGUGAAAUAGAAAACAUAAAUUUAAAAAAUCACAACUUCUGGAGAUGAAGGACACACUUACAGAAAUGAAAAAUGCACUGGAAAUCCUCAGCAAUAGAAUCAAACAAGUAGAAGAAAUAACUUCAGAGCUUGAAGACAAGGCAUUCAAAUUAACCCAAUCCAACAAAGACAAAGAAGAAUUUUAAAAAAUGAGCAAAGCCUCCAAGAAGUUUGGGAUUAUGUUAAAUAACCAAACCUAAGAAUAACUGGUGUUCCCGAGGAAGAAGAGAAAUCUAAAAGUUUGGAAAACAUAUUUGAGGGAAUAAUCAAGGAAAACUUCCCCAGUCUUUCUAGAGAUCUAGACAUCCAAAUACAAGAAGCUCAAAGAACACCUAAGAAAUUCAUUGAAAAAAAGAUCCUCACCUUGGCACAUAGUUAUUGGGUUAUCUAAAGUCAAGAUGAAGGAAAGACUCUUAAUGGCUGUGAGGCAAAAGCAUCAGGUAACUUAUAAAGGAAAACCUAUCAGAUUAACAGCAGAUUUGUCAGCAGAAACCCUACAAGCUAGAAAGAAUUGGGACCCUAUCUUUAGCCUCCUUAAACAAAACAAUUAUCAGCCAAGAAUUUUGUAUCCAGUGAUGCUAAGAUUCAUAAAUGAAGGAUACCAUCUUUUUAAAAUAAAUGCUGAGAGAAUUCACCACUACCAAGCCAGCACUAUGAGCACUGCUAAGAGGAGCUCUAAAUCUUGAAACAAAUUUUCAACACACACCAAAAUAGAACCUCCUUAAAGCAUAAAUUUCACAGGACCUAUAAAACCAUAACACAAUUCAAAAAAAACACAAGUAUUCAGGCAGCAAAUAGCACAAUGAAUAUAAUAGUACAUCUCAAUACUAACAUUGAAUGUAAAUGGCCUAAAUGCGCCACUUAAAAGAUACGGAGUGUCAGAAUGUGUAAGAAUUUAUUAACUACGUAUAUGCUGUCUUCAAGAGACUCACUUGACACAUAAGGACUCACAUAAACUUAAGGUAAAGGGGUGGAAAAAGAUAUUGCAAGCAAAUAGACACCAAAAGUGAACAGGAGUAGACAAAACAAACUUUAAAGCAACAGCAGUUAAAAAGACAAAGAGGGAAAUUAUAUAAUGAUAAAAUGACUAGUCCAGCAGGAAAGUAUCACAAUCCUAAAUACAUAUGCACCUAACACUGGAGCUCCCAAAGUUAUAAAACAAUUACCACUAGACCUAAGAAAUUAGACAGACCACAAUACAAUAAUAGUGGAGGACUUUGAUACUCCACUGACAGCACUAGGCAGGUCAUCAAGACAGAAAGUCAACAAAGAAGCAAUGGACUUAAACUAUAUCUUACAACAAAUGGACUUAACAGAUAUUUAGAGAACAUUCUACCCAACAACUGCAGAAUAUACAUUCUUUUCACCAGCACAUGGAACAUUCUGCAAGAUAGAACAUAUAAUAGGCCACAAAAGAAUUCUCAACAAAUUUAGGAAAAUUGAAAUUAUAUCAAAUACUCUUUCAGACCAUAGUGGAAUAAAAUUGGAAAUCAACUCCAAAAGGCAUCCGCAAAACUAUGCAAAUACAUGGAAAUUAAAUAACUCGCUCCUGAAUGAUCAUUGGAUCAGCAAUGAAAUCAAGAUGGAAAUGUAAAAAUUCUUUGAACUGACCAAUAAUGGUGACACAACUUAUCAAAACCUCUGGGAUACAGCAAAAGCAGUAUUAAGAGAAAAGUUCACAGCAUCAAAUGCCUAUUUAACUAAGUCUGAAAGGGCAUGAAUAGACAAUCUAAGGUCACACGUCAAGGAACUAGAGAAACAAGAGCAAACCAAACCCAAAUGUAACAGAAAAAACAAACAAACAGCAACAAAAAAAGAUCAGAGCAGAACUGAAUGAAAUGGAAAACAAAAUAAAUUACAAAACAUAAAUGAAACAAAAAGCUGGUUAUUUGAAAAGAUAAAUAAAAUUUAUAGUCAUUAGCAAGAUUAACCAAGAAAAGAAGAGAGAACAUCUGAAGAAGCUCAAUUAGAAAUGAAGUGGGGGUUAUUACAAUUGAUACCACAGAAAUACAAAAGAUCACUCAAGGCCACUAUGAACAUCUUUAUAUGAACACCUUUACUAUGAACAUCUUUACAUAAACUAGAAAACCUAGAGGAGAUGGAUAAAUUCCUGGAAAUAUACAGCCCUCCUAGAUUAAAACAGACUGAAAUAGAAACUCUGAACAGACCAAUAACAAGCAGCAAGAUGGAAAUGGUAAUUUUAAAGUUGCCAAAAACAACAACAAAAAAGCCCAGGACCAGAUGGAUUCACAGUUGAAUUCUAUAAGACAUUCAAAGAAGAAUUGGUACUAAUCCUAUUGACAUUAUUCCAAAAGAUAGAGAAAAAGGGAAUCCUCCUUAAAUAAUUCUAUGAAGCCAGUAUCACCAUAAUAGCAAAAACCAGGGAAGGACAUAUAAAAAAAAGAAAAUUACAGACCAAUAUCCCUGAUGAACACAGAGGCAAAAAUCCUCAACAAAAUACUAGCUAACUGAAUCCAACAGCAUAUUAAAAAUCUAGUCCACCAUGAUCAAGUGGGUUUCAUACCAGAGAUGCAGGGAUGGUUUAACAUACGCCAGUUAAUAAGUGUGAUACACCACAUAAACAGAAUUAAAAACAAAAAUAGCAUGAUUAUGUCAAUAGAUGCAGAAAAAGCAUUUUACAAAAUCCGGCAUCCCUUUAUGAUUAAAACCCUCAGCAAAAUCGUCAUAGAAGGGACAUACCUUAAGGCAAUAAAAGCCAUCUGUGACAAACCCAUAGCCAACAUUAUACUGAAUAAAAAAGUUGAAAGCAUUCCUCUUGAGAACUGAAACAAGAUAAGGAUGCCCACUUUCACCACUUCUAUUCAACAUAGUACUGGAAGUCCUAGCUAGAGGAAUCAGUUAAGAGAAAGAAAUCAAGGGCAUCCGAAUUAAUAAACAGGAAAUCAAACUGUCACUGUUUGCUGAUGAUAUGAUUGUAUACCUAGAAAAUCCUAAAGACUCCUCCAAAAAGCUGCUAGAACUGAUAAAUGAAUUCAGCAAAGUUUCAGAAUACAAAAUUAAUGUACACAAAUCAGUAGCUCUGCUAUACCACCAACAGCGUCCAAGCUGAGAAUCAAAUCAAGAACUCAACUCCUUUUACAAUAGCUGCAAAAAAAUAAAUAAAUAAAACACUUAGGAAUAUACCUAACCAAGGAAGUGAAAGGCAUCUACAAGGAAAACUGCUGAAAGAAAUCAUAGACAACACAAAUAAAUGUAAACACAUCCCCUGCUCCUAGAUGGGUACAAUUAAUAUUGUGAAAAUGACCAUACUACCAAAAGCAGUCUACAAAUUCAAGAAAAUUCCCAUCAAAAUAUCACAUCAUUCUCCACAGAACUAGAAAAUAUAAUCCUAAAAUUCAUAUGGAACUAAAAAAGAGCCCCCAUAGCCAAAGCAAGACUAUGCAAAAAGAACAAAUCUGAAGGCAGCAUAUUACUCGACUUCCAACUGUACUAUAAGGCCAUAGUCACCAAAACAACACGGUUCUCAUAUAAAAAUAGGCAUACAGACAAAUAGAACAGAAUAGAGAACCCAGAAAUAAACCCAAAUACUUACAGCCAAGUAAUCUUCAACAAAGCAAACAAAAACAUAAAGUGGGGAAAGGACACCUAUUCAACAAAUGGUGAUAGGAUAAUUGGCAAGUCACAUGUAGAAGAAUGAAACUAGAUCCUCAUCUCUCACCUUAUACAUAAGUCAACUCAAAAUGGGUCAAAGACUUAAACCUAAAACCUGAAACUAUAAAAAUUCUAAAAGACAACAUUGGAAUAACCCUUCUAGACAUGAGGUUAGGCAAAGACUUCAUGACCAAAAACUCAAAAAUAAAUGUAACAAAAAGAGGCCAGGUGUGGUAGCUCACACCUGUAAUCCCAGCACUUUGGGAGGCCGAGGCAGGCGGAUCACGAGGUCAGGCGAUUGAGACCAUCCUGGCUAACAUGUCGAAACCCUGUCUCUACUAAAAAUACAAAAAAUUAGCCAGGCGUGGUGGCGGGUACCUGUAGUCCCAGCUACUCAGGAGGCUGAGGCAGGAGAAUGGCAUGAACCCGGGAGGCAGAGCUUGCAGUGAGCCCAUAUCGCACCACUGCACUCCAGCCUGGGCGACAGAGCGAGACUCUGUCUCAAAAAUAAAAAAAAUGAUUAAUAGAUGUGACUUAAUUAAACUAAAAAGCUUCUGCACAGCAAAAUAAAUAAUCAGCAAACAGACAACUCAGAGAGUGGGAGAAAAUCUUCACAAUUUAUACAUCUAACAAAGGACUAAUAUCCAGAAUCUACAAUGAACUCAAACAAAUUAGCAAGUAAAAAACAAACAAUCUCAUCAAAAAGUGAGCUAAGGACAUGAAUAGACAAUUCUCGAAAGAAGAUACACAAAAAGCCAACAAACAUGAAAACAUUCUCAACAUCACUAAUGAUCAGGUAAAUGCAAAUCAAAACCACAAUGUGAUACUGUCUUACUUCUUCAAUAAUGGCCAUAAUCAACAAAUAAAAAAAUAGAUGUUGGCUUGAAUGUGGUGAAAAGGGAACACUUUUACACUGUUGGUUGGAAUAUAAACUACUACAACCACUAUGGAAAACAGUGUGGAGAGUCCUUACAGAAUUAAAAGUAGAUCUAUCAUUUGAUCCAGCAAUCCCAUGACUUGGUAUCUACCCAGAGGAAAAAAAGUCAUUAUAUGAAAAAGAUACUUACAUUUGUCUGUUUAUAGCAGCACAAUUUGCAAUUGCAAAAAGAUGGGGCUGGGCACAGUGGCUCACCCUGUAAUUUCAACACUUUGGGAUGCCAAGAUCGGUGGAUCACCUGAGGUCAGGAGUUCAAGACCAGCCUGGCCAACAUGGUGAAACCCUGUCUCUACUAAAAAUACUAAAAUUAGCUGGGUGUGGUGGCAGGAGCCUGUAAUCCCAGCUACUUGGGAGGCUGAGGGAGUAGAAUUGCUUGAAUCCAGGAGGUGGAGGUUGCAGUGAGCCGAGAUCAUGCCAUUGUAUUCCAGCCUGGGCGACAGAGCAAGACUCUGUCUCAAAAAAAAAAAAAAAAAAAAAAAAAAGGACCAGCCCAAAUGCCCAUCAGUCAAUGAGUGGAUAAAGAAAAUGUGAGAUAUAUAUAUCUCACAUAUAUAUAUCAUGGAAUACUACCUGGCCAUAAAUAGGAAUGAAAUAACGGUAUUUGCAGUAACCUGGAUAGAAAAGGAGAUCAUUAUUCUAAAUGAAGUAACUCAGGAAUGGAAAACCAAACAUCAUAUGUGGGAACUAAGCUAUAAGGACUCCAGGGCACAAGAAUGAUACAGUGUACUUUGGGAACUUGGGGGAAAAGGUGGGAGGGGUUUAGGGAGAAAAGACUUCACAUUUGGUACAGUGUACACUCUUCAGUGAUGGGUGCACCAAAAUCUCAGAAAUCACCACUAAAGAACUUAUUCAUGUAACCAAAUAUCAUCUGUUCCCCCAAAACUUAUUGAAAUACAAAUAUAAAAAUUAAUAUAAAUAAAAAUUAAUAAAAAUAAACAAAAAUAAAAAAUAAUAAAUAAAAAUUAAUAUAAAAAUAGCACUAUCUGAAAUUCUUAUAAAGAUUUUCUCUACAGAAAGCAUAUUUUGUGUAAACCAAACUCAACUAAACAUACUGUAAUUCCUUACAUCUUACCCAGUAAUUUUUUUGGCAAUAUAAACUGUUUCUUAAAAAUCUACCACUUAAUUUUCAAAAAUAAAAAUAAAAGUAAAACAAGGGCAGUCAAGAUGAGAAAAUGCAAGUUGGAAGUAUAAGGAAAUGAUGACAAUUCCAUUUAAAAUAUUCUGAGUUUGAUGCCAGGUGUGGUGGCUCAUGCCUAUAAUCCCAGUACUUGGGAAGCCAAAGAAAGAAAAUUGCUUGCAGUCAAGACUUUAAGACUAGCAUGGGCAACAUAGCAAGACCUUGUCUCUACAAAAAAUGAAAAAAAAAUUGCUAGGCCUGGUGGCAUGUGACUGCAGUCCCAGCUACCUCAGAGGCUGAGGUGGGAGGAUCGCAUGAGUCCAGGAGGUCAAGGCUGCAGUGAGCCAUGAUCACACCAUUACACCCCAGCCUGGGGGACAGAGCAAGACCCUGUCUCUCUAAACACACACACACACACACACUCACACACACACACACACACGUAAAAUCUAAGCAGGAAUGUCUGGCACACAACAGAAGUGACACUGUAGCUUAGGAGAGUUACCCCUAUGAAUUUUUAACUAAGUGGUAGAAAUACAAGAGAAGAGAAAAGAAUAUAAGAUGUACACACAGACAUGCUUACCAUCAAAGUAAAAAAUUGUAAGUACCAUGUAAAUGGGACAGACUAAUUGUUCUAAGACAGCAAAGAAAAUAAUCACAAGCAAUUGGGAAGACAUUUUUGUGAAAACAUUUCUGUAAGAGAGAGAAGAGAGGAGAAUAUUGGGGAAUGUCUCAUUUAGCAGGCGAAAGGCACUGGAAAAAGGCAAUCAUUGAUUGAAAUAGGUAAUCAAUAAUAGAGAUAUUAGAAUAAUGCACUUUGUGAAAAUCAGAGGGAAAGAAAGUUUCAAGAUUAAAGUACUCAAGAAAAUACAAUGCUACAGACAAUUCAAGGAAGCUGGGGACUAAGAAAAGACCUCUGAAUUUGGUUACCAAAUGGACUCUCCAAGAUAGUUUUCUAAAUGCAGUUCUUGUCAAUUGCUAAGGACAGAAGCCGGACUCUAAAGAGGUGUUAGAAGCUACAAGUGAAGGGACUGUAUGAAGAUGACUUCAGAAGGUUUGGGAGAUGUCAAGGUGAAAUCACACACCUUAGCCUCAUCACCUAACAAUUGUGCAUGCCCUCCAUAAAAGCCAAAAAAUAUGUGCUGUGCUUGCUGGACAGUGUUUCCUGUGCUGAUUGUACUAAAAAGCUACUGUGAUAGAUUAAAGUCUAUUGCAUCUGUGAAUAAAAAAAGAGUAAGCAACUAGGAAACUGACUACAAUAUGGUCAGAAAGAUAUGCUGUUAUCACCUAAGCCCACUGAGAUUUUAAGAAGAGGGGAGAACGGAAUGUGUCAUGAAGUGGUUUCUAAGGCUGUGUUAACUUCCUAGGACUGCUGGAACAAAGCAGUGUAAAGUGGCGGCUUAAAACAACAGAAAUUUAUGGUCUUACAGUUCUGGAGGCUGGAAGUAUGAAAUCAACGUGUCAGCAAGGUUAGUUUCUUCUGAGGCCUCUGAAAAGGAAAGUGUUCCAUGUCUCUCUCCCCGCUUCUGGUGGUUGCCUACAACCCUUGGCAUUUCUUAAUUUGUAGAUGCUUCACUCCAGUCUCUGCCUCCAUCAUCAAAUGGCAGUCUCCCUCACUGUGUGUCAGCUUCUUGUAAGGAAACCAGUUAUACCGGAUUAGAUCCACCCCAAUGGCCUCGUCUCAACUUGAUUACAUCUGCAAAAAUCCUAUUUCCAAAUAAGGUCACAUUCACAGGUACCAGAGGUUAGGACUUCAACAUCUUUUGGGAAGACACAACUCAGCACAUAACAACAGUCAAGGGAUUGGAGCAGAAUCUCUGGGUGACUGACCUGAGGCCAUCAUUGCAGAUCCAUCCCUCUUGCCAGUGAGGGGUUCAAGCAUGGGCAUAUGACCAAUGAGACAUGAGAGGAAGUCUGCAGGGACCUUCAGGAAACAUUUCCUUGGCUCAAAGAGAGACCUCAAGGAAAGGAUGGUCUCUUCCCUUCUAGAUACUGUGUCAGAAUGAGAAAACUAGAACUGCUGCAGCUGUAUUUCUACCAGCCUGAGAAUGGAGCCUAAACUAAGAAUGGAUGAGAAGAGGUGAAAUGAUCCUGAAUCCUUGAUGACAUCACCAAGUCAACCGAACUUGAAGGCUGCCUUGUCUCUGGACCUCUUGCUAUGUGGAAUAAUGGAUAGUUUAAGCCUGUUGGAAUCCAGAUUUUUAUGAUGUGCAGCAAAACCUAUUCUCCUGAUAACAUACUAGGAGCACCAAUAAAAUUUAGAUCUAAAAAGGGACUGAUUAUAGUUAAGCUUAUGCAGACAUACCUAGGAAGAAAAUCAGAAGAUUUAAGAAAAACUUAGAAUAAACAGCAAGGCCUACUUUUACACUGGUUCUUGUGAAGGACUAAUUUGGCACCAAAAUCAAGAUGUCACAGGAAGGGGAACAUCACACACCGGGG